GAGCAUGUGGAUUAAUUCGAUAAUAACCGAAGAACCUUACCCAGGUUUGACAUCGAUCGUAAGCCUAAGAGAUUAGGCCCUCCCCCACAAGGGGACGUGAAGACACUUGUUGCAUGGCUGUCGUCAGCUCGUGCCGUGAGGUGUACGGUUAAGUCCGCCAACGAGCGCAACCCUCGUCCUGUGUUACCAGCAUUAACGGUGGGGACUCACAGGAGACCGCCGGUGUAAGCCGGAGGAAGGUGAGGAUGACGUCAAGUCAGCAUGGCAGUUACGCCUGGGGCUUCACACAUGCUACAAUGGGCGCAACAAUGGGCAGCAAUACCGUGAGGUGGAGCAAAUCCCAAAAAUACGCCCCCAGUUCAGAUUGCAGUCUGCAACUCGACUGCAUGAAGGUGGAAUCGCUAGUAAACGCAGGUCAGCUAUACUGCGUUGAAUACGUUCCCGGGUCUUGUACACACCGCCCGUCAAGUCACCUGAAUUGUCUUCACCCGAAGUCCGUGGCCUAACCGCAAGGAAGGAGCGGCCGAAGGUGGGGGGGGUAAGGGGGACU
rnacentral:rRNA from 1 species